CCUGAUACCUCUCGUUAUCCUAGGGUUUUCUCUCUCCCCACUGUCUCUCACUCUCGUCACCACAUAUACCGCUGCCCCCAUCUCCGCCACGGCGGCGGCGGUAGCGUCAGUGGCAGUGGCGAGGUUUAAUAGAUCUGGCCGGACUCUUUCGAUGGCUCCGAAAUCGUUCAUGAAAGCAAUGCCUCACGCUCCACCGAUCUUCCUCUUAAGGCUUCUCCACCUGCUCGCCGCCAUGACUCUGAAGUUCAUUUCCAUGAAAGUUAGAGAGAGAAACUGUGAAGUUCAUAUCCAUGGUGGAGCACCACCGCGACGUCGAUGCUGGUACUAGAGGAGCAACACCGUGACGUUGGAGGCGGCAUUUUGGAGGGAGAUAUCGGCGCCGAAGCUGGCGAGAGUAAGGCGGCGAAUGCAUCGUUGCUGCGACGGACGGCCUAGGCCUUCGAAUCCUCAGAAAUUGAGCAACAAAAGAAAAAAAAAUCCUAAGGGUUUCGUUCGAAAACAAGUCAGAAAUUUUCAGAUCUAUUUUUUUUUUCUUUUUUCUUUUUUCUAGAGAGAGAGGGGGGAGGAAGAUGAAGGUGGGGUUUUUGUGUUGUUGAAGAACUGUGUUGUGGGAGAUGAGGUAAGAGGUGAAGAAAUAGCAGGAGAGAGAAAACCAGAGAGACGCUGGUGGGUUUGUUUUGUAGCAUCACUGUAUUUUUAUACAGAGCUUCUCUACUUUUUUUCUCAAAAAAAAAAUGCCUCUCUGUGGGUCUCUAUUGAUCAACAUCACGAAGUUCUCUCGUUUUCCCCUCUGUUUCACUCUCACUCUCACUCUCAGUGCCUACGGUUUCUGCAUUAGGGCACAAUGCCUCUCGCGAUUUUGGGACCAUUUAUCUCAAUUUGAUCAGGCAUCUCUCUCUCUCUCUUACGGCAUUUGAAGGUUAGCUUCUAAUCCCACCCUUUUAGGUUGUGUUUGGUGUAUGGACUUGGGGAGGGAUUUAUAAAGGACAAGGAAAAUGGUGUGCAAAAUUAACUAAUGGAAACAAGGGAAAAGACGUCUAAAGGAUAAAAGCUUGAAUCUCUCCAUCCCAGGCAUCACAGUUUUGGAAGGGAAGCCAUGGCAUUUUGGAGGGAAACUAAUGGUCCUAAAGCGAUGGGACUACAGAAACUUGUUGGAAGGAAAGUCUAAUAAAAGUCCCUGCCUGGGCUAAAAUUCUUCAAUGUCCCCUUCGAAUAUUGGGAUGAGCAAGGGUUAAGCCACAUUGCAAGCAUGAUGCAAAUUCUAGUUGAAUCGCAAAAGAGAAUUACUUUUGCCAAAAUCUAUGUUGAGAUUGAAGUGGGUAGUAAACUGGUGGAACUUUGACCUGGACAACAGGAAUGAGAGUUUUGAAGGGGUAAAAGUGUACCAAUGGGUGCUCAUCCAGUCUUUGGUUUAUGAUGUAUUCAGGAAUGACUGGGGAAAGAAACCAAAAGUAGAAUGGAGGCACAUACAGAAGCCACAGGGGAGGCCAUAGCCAAUGACGAUCAUAAUGCCCAAAAUUGGGCAAAGAUGACCUAAUUCCAAUAAUAAAGGGCAACCAUUAGAGCAACGGCAAAACUCAACCUAGGAUGUAGCCAAUUUGUUAAAUGGGGAACAUUAUCAUGAGGUAGGUUUUGAUCAAGACCAAACUAUCUAUACCGUUCAGGUGAUACCAGGCGAUUCAACAGCUGUGAAGUUCUAGCAAAUACUUUUGACAACCUGGAGAUGUAGGAAGCUAAUUACAAGACCCCAGGCCCAUCUAUUCUAGAUAAAAAGAAAUGGGAAGGCUUUAUCUUCAACUUAUAACAAUAGGAGUAAGAAUGGGAAGGAAAGUUGACAGUAGUAUAACAUUAGCAGAUACAUACACCACGAAUAAACUUGAAUUCCUGGUUGGUAUAAAUGGAACACCAACUAGAGAUAUUUAUUAACAAGUUGAGUAAUACAAACAAAUGAUUUUUAAGAACUAAGUAAACAUUGUGUUAUUAAAACAAGUUACACUCGAGAAAUUGUGUAAAUGUUAUGCAUUGAAGUUAUAGUCUACAAUAAUUCUUCACCACAAUAUAUAUAGACAAAUACAUACAAACAUGCAAGAAAGAAUGAAAAUGCAAAUUAACGUACACAUAAUGAACUCUUUGUAAUUGCACUUAAAGCGACUCAGGUCUAAAGUUUAAUCUUCUGAUUACAUAAUGACAGCUUAUUUAUUUUUGUUUUUAAUACUUUCUUCCUUUGGCUUGCUAAAUCAGUUCAGGAUAUUGUUCAACAUGCAGCGGUCAUUUACUUUUCUUCUUUCAAUAUGGGAUACCCGGUCCAGAACAAUAAAACUUCAAAUACUACUAUUUCAACACUAGUAGAAAUACAAAACAUCCCUAUUUGCUUGAUCAACUAUGGAUAGAUAAAAUAAAAAUAAUUGUCAUGUGAGGCUGUGACUCAUAAAAUUUGUUCACUUAACCAUCUCAAAAAACUGUUGAUGUAAUCAUUUGCAAUUUUGCGAUUUGGAUACAUAUACAAGGAGGCAUAGAACUAAUGAUGAUCUGUGUAUCCCGCUAAAAAUGAAAUUAAAAGAAAAAUAUUAGAAGCUUCAACUAAACCCAGCAUUGUUGAAACAGACGAAAAGAAGGAAGACAACAAUUUGCAGUUGCAUUGUGUAAUUACAAUGCGUACAUGUUAAGGAUAUGAAGCAUAAGCUCAAAAAGGCGAUGCAUUGACAUGAAACAAUGAUCCAUUUGAAACCAUUUAUCCGAAAAACUAAAAAAUAAUUUCAACACUAGUAGAAAUAUAAAACAUACCUAUUUGCUUGAUCAACUAUGGAUAGAUAAAAUAAAAAUAAUUGUCAUGUGAGGCUGUGACUCAUAAAAUUUGUUCACUUACCCUCUCAAAAAACUGUUUAAGUAAUCAUUUGCAAUUUUGCGAUUCGGAUACAUAUCCAAGGAGGCAUAGAACUAAUGAUGAUCUGUGUAUCCCACUAAAAAUGAAAUUAAAAGAAAAAUAUUAGAAGCUUCAACUGAACCCAGCAUUGUUGAAACAGACGAAAAGAAGGAAGACAAAAAACAAUUUGCAGUUGCAUUGUGUCAUUAAAAUGUAUACAUGUUCAGAAUCUGAAGCAUAAGCUCAAAAAAGCAAUGCAUUAACAUGAAACAACGAUCCAUUUGAAACCAUUUAUUCAAAAAACUAAAAAAUAAAAAAUGAUCCAUUUGAAACCAUAAAUAAUAUAUGGACGUGCUGAAGAAAAAAGACAAAAAAGUAUCAUUAGUGCUAGAAAACUAUAAAUUAAUUGUCAACAAACAAUCAACAUGCUUAUAGUACCACAUAAAUUAAUUAUUCACAUUCUCUUUACUUUUCAACAUAUCUAUUUGAGCUCGAUUCAUAUUCUACACAUAUUUCUGUCAUAGAAAUGUAUUGAUAUUGAAUCGAUCAAUUACCAAACAAGUCCAGUGUCACCACAACCACUAGGCAUAAUCAGUGGCCAGCACUUCGCCAUGAACUGGAAGAGAUUACCCUAAUAUGUUGUAUGCAAUCAUUCAAUGAAAUGGCCAGAGUGAGUCAAAACAACAAAAAAUCAGUAAUGUACUGCCGUUUGUGUUAAGAGUUAGCCAUCGUCUUUCUCUUCCAGAGCUGAAGCAGUGAAGCUUCUAUAAACUCUCAUUAAGUUCUCUAUGUUGUGAAUAUUUUUGUAUGUCUAUAUAUACACGAACUACCUUUCUAUGGUAAAGUGGCUCUCUGCAUAUCUCAAGAAAAGGAAUGUUUUGAAUUUAAUAAUGGAGGUAAAUUCACAAUUUUCUCUGAAAAAUUGGUAAUCACAUCAAAUUUGACCUGAACAACGGGAUGGGGAUUUUGAAGGGAUAAAAGUGUACCAAUGGAUGCCCACAGCCAAUAUGCCCAAAAUGUGGGCAAAGAUGACCUAAUUCCCAGAGUAAAGAGCAACCAUUGGAGCAAGGACAAAAAUCACCCAGGAUGUGGGCAAUUCGUUAAAUGGGGAACAUUAUCAUGAGGUAGGCUUUGAU